AGAGGCUCCAUUCGCCCGUCGACCGCUGCUUCGGUCAGAUCUUGUGCGUGUGUUGAGUGGUUUUCGCUAAUUCGCUGGUGCAGUUCCCGCAGUCAGUGCGUACGCAACCCGGACAUUUCCCGGGACAGAGUGAGAAGGAGAGAGUUGAAAAAAAGAAGCAAACGUGCGCGCGUGUGUGAAUCGAACAACAACGGGUUCUUCGCUAUCGCGGUUCAAGUUCCCGUUUUUUUUACUUUAUUUUUUUUUGGGAAAUUUUUAUUUCGCCUGCGGGUUUUGAUGAAUGCGAUGCGACGAUCGUGUCUGUGAGUUUGUGUCUGGCCAAGCGCUGCUUUCGAGUGUGACUUUUACUGGCACUGUCGGGGUUUAGUUGCGUUUCAGUGGAUUCAGCUGUCGUGUUUGGCAGCAAUUAGCAACUAUUAUCAAAUCAACAGUCCCUAGACGGUUCAGAAGCUUAUGGUGAAAAUAACAAUACUGAUAUAGCGUCAAUUGGUGUGAUGUUGAAAAGCUUGCAAAAGCAUUGAUCCAAGUCAAGAAGAAACCAAUUGAGAUUCAGUAAACGUUCGUAAGUCUACGAGUUCUACUUUCGACAAAAGUAAAGGCUGUUGUUUCAUGAGAGUAAACCAACUCGAUUCGAUAACCGUGGGACUUGAUUGUGUAUUUUGUGGAUUACAUGGGCAACAUCUUGAGAGGUAGCAGAAAAAGUGGUAUUCGUAACGGUUUUGGCGUGUUCUGAUUCCGAAAUUUCCCAUCUGAUUGAGUGUUUUUAGGGAGUUGACAGCCCGGUGUAGAACGGAAGAAAGCAAAAAUUUUCUCUCGCUAGAAGUGGAUUACAGUGUUGCUCGAUGUCGUCUUUUGUGCUUGUUUGACUUCGAUGAAUCCAAGUGUCAACAGAUUGUAAUUGAAACAUUUGCGAUGCAAUUAGUGUCCGUGCGCUGGUCACGCUCUAUAACGUCCGUUGUGCAUCUGGAACGAAACAACCAUUGAAGUGUAGCUAGUAGCCGCAGAUUCGGUUUCAUACCUCUAACGGAUUGCACUUAAUCGAAGCGGAGAAGUCUGUUGACAUAACCUAUUUUUGAUACACAUAAUACAGGCAGCAGCCAGAGAAAAUCCAAAUCAAAUUCGAGUACACCUUGUGGAAAAAUGGUGAAAUAGCAAACAAAUAAGAGGAUUAAACGAAUGGAUCAACAACAAGUUUUUUUCUCUUACUACGCCAGAGUGUGAAAGUAGAGCGGAAAAUCCGUCUUUAAGCUAAAACGUACGAAUUUGGGUGCUUGACAAAGGCAUAAUUUCUGUCAACAGAGAAUAAAAGUGCAGUGUACCUAACCGGUGUGAUUAUUAUUGGGUAUAACCUUGCAGGAGAAAGGGGAGAAAGGAAAAAGGGGGAAGAACUGGAAAAAAGUCAAGUGCUUGACCAAGUGAAUAGUGAAAAUUUGUGUUCGUCGUCUGAAACAGGAAAGUGAAAAAGUUUUUGUUCGUGGGUUGGAAUGAAAAGAAGAAACGAGUGUAAAGCUACGGGAGAAACAACCUUGUGAAAAGAAGCAAUAAACCUAUCCCCGAGUUUACGUCGUCCCAAGGGAGGCUGGUGUUGGUGUGUCGGGUGCAGAAUUGGAUUAGAGUUCAACCUAUAAAGCACCAGGAGUUACAGACUACGAGUUGCAGUUUAGCAAAAAGAUUUAAUCCUUCUGCAUAAAUCACGCUACGUUAAUGGGAUAAAAGCUCACUUUUACUGGCUUCUGAUGCAGGCGGGAACAUAAAAAGGUACUUAAAUACACAUUUGGAGAAUCUUUUCAAAAGUACAGUUUAACAACAAAUAUUGGAAAUUGCCUAUGGAACACUAAUGAUUCCGUCUGAUGGCGAAAGUUAGCCAUCUUUCAAUGAGACGCUACCAACCGGAUCAACCGACUACCGGGACCACCAAUGUAGACACCAUCAACUUUUAUCCACCAGCCAAUGCCAAUCAACGAACAUCCUCCGAGAAGUCAAAACGAACAUGGGGCCAGCGAUUCAAGCUUAGCAAAUCUACACCUGACAAAAGUAACUUCAAAACACUAACCACCAGUAGCAGCUCGAGCAUCCUGAGCUCCGCUAGUGCACCGCUUCCCACCAGCUCACUGAACCCCAUCGUCGAAGUGCUGGACUAUUCCAGCUUACAGUUACAGCAUCUUAAUCAGCAGCAACAACUGCAGCAGCAACAACAGCAAAACCUCCAACAGCAGCAGCAACACCUUCGCUACGUGCAUUCCAUCUCCAAUGUUCCGCUGCUCUCCGGAACGGUGACCCACUCGAUGAAGUAUGUGGAGUCAAACUGGGUUUACGGCACGAUGCGUGGAAUGCCACCACCGAUGGGGCCAAUGCAUCCCCACCCGCAUCAGCACUCGGGCCUCAUCCACCCGAUGGCACCCAUGUAUUGUCCGAUGCCUGGGCCCCUACCAGGCGGGCCCGAGGUAGCCGUCGUAAUUUGCUGCUGUCCGGAGUACCUGAAUGGAACCAAACGGGAAGUGAAGAAGGCUAGCAUCUGCAAGAAAUGCAAGGGAUCGCGAUUACCGCUGGCUCCGAUCGGGGGAACGUUGAGGCUAACUUCGGGAGCAACGUUCCUGGCGCCACCGGUACGAAGCAGUGCCGGAACGGUAAAGUUGGCCUCGACCUAUGGAAAAAAGGCUCGUCCUUCGAUUCUGGGCAGUGCCGGUGAUCCGUACGAUUUUAUGAGACGAUCCCGGCUCAACCAACCGGAGCAAACAAAGUCUGUGAAGAGUAGCAUUAAGGAGAAACUGCGCGGUCGGGCGAAAAGCUCUAGCCCUUCAAAGGGCCGCAGUAGAGCGGACAAACGCACCCCUUCGCCUACGUUGAGCAAGAGCAGCGGCAGUCGCAGUCUGAGUGCCAGUCGAAGUAGCAAUAGUAAUAGCAAGGGAUUCAAGGAUUGUUGGGUGGAACCGGAGGAACUAGAACAAGAACCGGAUCCGGGAGCAGGUCGAAGAUCAAUACUUCGAUGUGAUAUUAAUCCAUACGAUCUGAUCUCGCUGAGCAGUGGGUUGAAUAAUGAGUUUUCGCCCACCAACGGAAUGGAUGAGUACGAUUUGUCGGUUCACUCGCAGAAGUACGAAAAUCUUCUGGACACUUUAUAUGCCAACAGGUACAAUCCGGCGAUCAAUAAUAUUGCGGCGAUAUCAGGCCAAAGAAUCAAACUGUUCGAUGGAGACACGACACCGUCUGUGUAUGACGACGUGGAUACGUACGUGUACGAUCCGGUGGAAGUUCAAGGAGGUGAAUCCGCGGAAGUAGAAACUCGUGUGGAAGUGAUUCCCGAGCGACCACCACGGACUAAACAUAACAAGCAAGACGCACCGAAAAUCGAGGAAGAUAUCAAAUCACUUCCCUCGCAGAUCUCCUCCGAAAUGACUCAAAGUGCAAUAAAAUCAAUCCUAAAGCGACCGGCAUCGGUGUCUAGUGCACCGGCGAACGGCGAUGCCGGUGGCCUUUCGGAUAAGCCCAGCUUCGAUACAAUUCGGCUCAACCAAACGCUGGUUCACCGACUCGCGAAACUAACCUCUGACGAGAACGUAUUUGCCAAAACCAACUCAGUCAGUGCCAGAACGGCGAAAAACAGCUUCGGGAAGGAGAGAGACACCAAACGCCACUCCGGUUCUCAGUUCUAUUUGCCCAACCCCUCCGGCAGUGCAACCGCCCUGGAUCGAUCCCGAAAGAAGGUUCACUUUUUGGUCGAGAACGAAAUCAUCGACGACGAUAAAUUUUUCGCACAGCUCCUAUUGUCGGAAACAAACGGCCAUAUCCCGCAGCUAUCGGGUACGAAGCAACCGGCGGCUACGGUGACGAUAGUACAAGUGACAUCUGCAGAUCUAGACGAGGACGAUCCUGUACCGUCGCUGCCUGCUCCUCCUCCAUCACCACCACCACUGCCACCAUCGUCCUUCUCUGCAUCAGCAGAACCACAGCCACCUUCCGAGACACUAGAUCAUCAAAACAAUGAGUCUGUGAUUAUGAGUUUAGUAAAUCAUGAUGACAAUCGACUGCCACCACAAACUGUGGCAACGACAACCACGCCGACGCUGGCAAUAGAUGACAAAAAUAGCAACCCUCAUCACACGAUGCCGUCGUCUGAGGGUGGCAAGGUCGGAAAAAGCAGCGACAAUUGGCCGAGUGGAAAUAAUUCUGCGGCGAAUAGUUGCACCAACGGUUUUAACAAUGGCGCCAAUGGGCCGAAGGAAGAGCUCCGUGCAGGAGAAGAACUCACCCCAUGGGGCAUCCGACGGCGUACCGGCCCCGCUCGACGCAAUUUUAGUGAACGCAAGUCUCCUCCCAGGGUGACCUCGUUCAACGGCACAUCCGAUCUUCAGCAGCAUCAGGCCCUUUUCAUGGAUACGAUGGCUUUACGCGGUAAACAGACGCGAACCGAUUCUCGGCUGGCUUUCGACGAAGAUCGCUUGUCCUCGUCCUCGUUUUCAUCCUCGUCCGGCAGUUCCGGUGGAACGACGCUAUCCAGUCGAAUGAGACCACGGGUGCCUCCGCCUCCACCGCCACCCCCGGCCAGUUCAACGGGUUCUUCCUCACCCGAUCAGCAUUCGAUCAGCAGUAGCAGUGAUACAGACUCCUCGCGUGGAAAACGGUUAGAGAAUGGUACAAAAUCAAACCAUCCUGAGGAAAGCAACAUUUACGAAGAAUUUUGCUUUGAUUUGAGCUCCGGCUCGGAGCGCAGCAGUGGUCGAAGUUCGACGGCUUCCCGCACCAUAGUCCAAGUGUCAACUCCCAUCUCGAACAGCUUCAGCAAGGAUGCUAUCCACCGGUUGGAGAUACGUCAUGAAGACGAAGACAGCAGCUACGAAUCACUGGGCCAGAAGAAAACAUCAAUUCUCAUCACCGGCGAUGACUGCUAUUCGACAGUAAACGUUGAUGACGAUAACGAAACGCCUCGCUAUCAGUCAUCGGUGGUGGUUAACGAUAGCGUCUUACCGGUUGGUAUCCAUCAGACCUCCUCCAACACGGUUACGAUCAGCGUAAACUCACCAACAUCAACACUCCAACAUCCGCGCAGCAAAAGUGAUCCCUCGAGUUCGUUGGACCUCGAUGAGAUGAUCUCCAAAAAUAAUCUGAAAAACAGCUUUCUAAACAGUUCAAACUCAACCUCGAUAAUUCCAAUUAACGGAUCGACUUCCAUAACGGUAACAGCUCCCAUACCGGAAUUCACGGAACCAUCCACUCCAACGAAAACCACCGGAAAGACUCUGAUCAGUCUGGAUUUCGAUCGAGACACUGCAAACCUUCACGAUUCGAGCCAACCAGCGUCCAAUAGCUCAUUUGCUAAUCCAACGGAAGAAAAACAAACAACCGAUUCUCAAGCAUCCGACGAACGAAGCAAAAACUGUGACACGAUUUCGAUAGUUCCUAAAGAAGCAAACUCCAAAGAAAGUAGCGAUAGUAUUGAACAUUUGCUGCGCAAUCCAGUCGAAGCAGUCCGGCGGAAUCUGGUUCCCCAUUUUUGCGGUAAACUGCCUGCCAAAGAUCAACCGGCGGCAGUCGCUGAUGAGGUGACGGCUCCCGUCACGGAUGGGAUGACGGUCAUUCGUCGGCAAAAAUCUGGUGACACUGGCAGUAGCCAAGCAAAGAGGAACAGUUUUAUCGCGAAGCUGCUGGAAGAUCCAAUGCUGGGGCACUUGGCCGAAGGCUUGGACUACGAACUGGUGGCGAAGCUGGUCGAGAACUCGCUGCUGCGAUUGAAGGAAACUCGAACUCAGUUGGAUAUGAGCGGAACCAAAGACGAAAACGAUGUGUCCAAGAUGAUAGAGGAUGCGUUAAUGAUGAUCAAAGACGAGCGGUUGAAGAUGGAUGCCAAGAAGCUGGAAAAGGAUAGUAAUCGCAGUAGCAUUAGCUCCGGCAAUAGUUACGGAUCGGCGGCUUACGAGCUGAUGGAGUUUGAUGCGACAGGUGAUUUGAGUGAUUGCUACCAGAGCUGCUCGAGUGAUCUAACCACUGAUGAGGAUGCGACGUCGUCGCGGAGUAAAUUUUAUCAGAUGCUUGUUGACGCAACUUUGUCCGAAAUUGAAAUUACAACGUCGAACGAUGAUGAGCAUCAUUACGAAUCGAUUCGAAUUAAUAGCGAUCCAAUCUACGAGGAAAUAAACGAUAUUCCACCGCCCCUUCCACUGUCUGCACCCCCGAUUGCGGAUGAUGUCGAUCGUGAGAAACGUAACGCAAGGUCAAUAUUUGAAGGCGCCUCCAAGUAUGAUAUUUUGUCCUAUUUAGUAGACGCCAAAGAGCGUGGAAUCGCUCAGGAGGAGGCGUACAAUUUUCAGUUUGGUAACGCUAGCGAUAUUAUUCUGGAGGAAGAGGAAGAUGAAAACAUAACCGAGCUUCGACAUCAUCAACGGCAGAUAUCGGAUAUCAGUAGUCGGCUGUCGCAUAUCUCCAACAUCAGUGACUCUAGUGAGGACACCUCUUUGCUGUCGCUGAGUCUUGCCCAGAAGAAGGCUUCGGAAAUCGAACGGAAUGAUUCAGGUGUCGGUUCGGAGACUAGCAAAACAUCCCGCAGCAAGUGGCAGAAUCCCGGUUCAAACUCUUUGAUCGAUAAGAUCAGCCCAAUUCACCUUUGCGAGGACUGCGAUGGUCCGGUGGAAACCCAAAUCACCGAGUCCGGAGUUAUGUACGCCCCGUUGGUGUGUCGCAAGUGCGGUAAGAAGCGAGCCGAGCGGAAGGAAAUCAUUACCGAAAUUGCCGAAACGGAGGAAAAAUAUGGCCGUGAUUUGCAGAUAAUUCUGGAGGAGUUCUACCAGCCGAUGCUCGUGGCCGGUUUGCUGAGCCAAGAUCAGCUCUCUGCAAUCUUUUUGAACGUGGAAGAAUUGCUCGAGAACAAUCAAUUUCUGGCGGAGCGAAUGCGGGACGCACUGGACAUCGCGACCGAACAGGGCGACGAGGAUCUGCUGACGGUGAAUGUGGGUAAGAUCUUUCUGGAAGCGGCCCCGAUGCUGCAUGCUUUCGAGAGUUACUGCGUGCGGCAGGGGGCGGCCAGUUUGCUGUUGGCGAACCUGGAGAAGGAAAAGGAACUGCUGCGAAUCUUUCUGCGAGUUUCCCAGAUGGAGAAUGCUGUGCUGAGAAGAAUGAAUUUGAAUUCGUUUUUAAUGGUACCCGUUCAACGUGUGACCAAAUAUCCGCUGCUGCUGGCGAGAUUAUUCAAAGUAACUCCAACCCAUCUGGAAGGCAAGGAUCAGUUGAAACAGGCACAGGAGAAGGUUGAACUGCACCUCAACCACAUGAACCGAGAGGCGAAAGAUGUCCCCACAAAGCUGUGGCGUAGAAUAUCAUCAUCCACCACAACUGGCAGACGGUUAUCCUGCGAGCUGGAUAUGAUAAACAUCAAGCUGCGCAAGAUGGCGAUCGACGUGCUGGAGUGGAACACCGAAGAGGUACGCUUCGCCAUCGAAGGCCGCCUGUUAUUCACCCAACCGAACGACGGCAACUGGAAGAAAAGUCGAACAAUCAAACUGACAUCAAUCAACGCGCUCCUGGUGACGAACGGGAAACCAAGUCCCAGCUACAAACCAGACCGGGCUCAGUCGGAACUGCUUAGCUUUCCCCGGCACACGGGAAUACGGGAGGCGUCGCUGCUGCUUGUACGGGAGAAAAACGGACGCUACACGCUGCUGCGGGAACCCCUCUUCCUGGACCGUUGCAUCGUGUGCACCGAAAACGACUGGGAGGACUACUUCGAGGUGCAGGAAAUUCUCUCCAAGGAGUCGUUCAUUUUUAAGGCUGAGGAUGGCGGCAAGACGAAGCAAUGGUACAGCCAGCUGCAGUAUCACUCGCAGGGCAUGGGGACCUGGCGGAAGCGCCGAAAUGCGCUGGCAAACAUCAUGAUUAAUGGAAUGAUGACACGAACCUGAACCGGUACGGCGGAAUGGCAGCCAAGCAUCAGCGUCGGGUGGAUGCGUGUAGCUCCUUUACUACCUGUGUGUUUAUAACGUUUCAAGCAUUUGCUGCUGCUGUUGCUAGUCGGGGGCGCAAAUUCUGCUGCUGCAAUCUUGCUGAGUAGUAAAAAAAUGAUCCGAAAUAUUUUCCUUGUUAGGUUAAGCUAUAAUACAAACUCGAACAUCACGAAAAUGGUAUGAAGAGUGUCGCGUGUAACAUAUUCGGGGGCGCAAAUUCUGCUGCUGCAAUCUUGCUGAGUAGUAAAAAAAUGAUCCGAAAUAUUUUCCUUGUUAGGUUAAGCUAUAAUACAAACUCGAACAUCACGAAAAUGGUAUGAAGAGUGUCGCGUGUAACAUAUUCGAGGGCGUUCUAAUACAUUUAAUACAAUUCGUGUAACACUGUAACAAUUAACCUAGAAACAACGAAUGAAAUUUUUAAACUGUUUACUUAAGUACUAAGAUGUGCGCCAAGACGCGAUGUGACUGUACGGUAUUAUUUAUUUUACUUUGGACUAGCCGCCCUUCUCCCCCACUGAUUUAGUAUUCCAAAUUCGAUAAUUCGAUUUAUAGUGUGUAGUAUUUAAACAAAUCUCUGUUUUUUUAUGAUCCGUUUUAAAAAAAAAUCGAAGCAUUCUCAACUGCUAGGAGCUGUAUUUUAUCUAGAAAAGUUGCGUAUUGUACUGUUGCUAGUUUCGACACACGACCGUUGCCCAACGUAACACCAAAACCACAACCAAGGAGAUUUUAGCAACGAAGUGGACAAUCGAAUCGGCUAGUGCCACAACAACGGUCCAAACAGCAAUAGUUAAGACGAUUACACAAAAAAAGUUAGAAUAAAGUUUAUUGAA